rnacentral:rRNA from 1 species
UACAGAGGGGGCAAGCGUUGUUCGGAAUUACUGGGCGUAAAGGGCGCGUAGGUGGCCUUCUAAGUCGAACGUGAAAUCCCUGGGCUCAACCCAGGAACUGCGUCCGAUACUGGAAGGCUUGAAUCCGGGAGAGGGAUGCGGAAUUCCAGGUGUAGCGGUGAAAUGCGUAGAUAUCUGGAGGAACACCGGUGGCGAAGGCGGGUCUCUGGGCCGAUACUGACGCUGAGGAGCGAAAGCGUGGGGAGCGAACAGG